rnacentral:rRNA from 1 species
GUCCACGCCGUAAACGAUGGAUACUUGGUGUUGGAGGUAUUGACCCCUUCAGUGCCGUAGCAAACGCGUUAAGUAUCCCGCCUGGGGAGUACGGUCGCAAGAUUAAAACUCAAAGAAAUUGACGGGGGCCCGCACAAGCGGUGGAGCAUGUGGUUUAAUUCGAUGCAACGCGAAAAACCUUACCUGGGCUCGAAAUGUACAGGAAGUUAGUAGAGAUAUUAACGCCUUCGGGUCUGUAUAUAGGUGCUGCAUGGCUGUCGU